UACGUAGGCAGCGAGCGUUGUUCGGAAUUACUGGGCGUAAAGAGUGUGUAGGCGGUGCUCUAAGUUCGGGGUGAAAUCUCCUGGCUCAACUGGGAGGGUGCGCCGGAAACUGGAGUGCUUGAGCGUGGGAGAGGAAAGCGGAAUUCCUGGUGUAGCGGUGAAAUGCGUAGAUAUCAGGAGGAACACCUGUGGUGUAGACGGCUUUCUGGACCAUAGCUGACGCUGAGACACGAAAGCGUGGGUAGCAAACAGG
rnacentral:rRNA from 1 species